AGAGUUUGAUCCUGGCUCAGAUUGAACGCUGGCGGCAGGCCUAACACAUGCAAGUCGAACGGUAACAGGAAGAAGCUUGCUUCUUUGCUGACGAGUGGCGGACGGGUGAGUAAUGUCUGGGAAACUGCCUGAUGGAGGGGGAUAACUACUGGAAACGGUAGCUAAUACCGCAUAACGUCGCAAAACCAAAGAGGGGGACCUUCGGGCCUCUUGCCAUCGGAUGUGCCCAGAUGGGAUUAGCUAGUAGGUGGGGUAACGGCUCACCUAGGCGACGAUCCCUAGCUGGUCUGAGAGGAUGACCAGCCACACUGGAACUGAGACACGGUCCAGACUCCUACGGGAGGCAGCAGAAGGGCGAAUU
rnacentral:rRNA from 1 species